AUGUCUACACAUUUUGUCAGAGCAAUUUGCAGUGGAAGAAGUAGCCUCAAACUGAUAAGAAGGCACCUGCUAUUUCACGGUUAUUGUUGUAGAUCAAGGAUGACAAGAAGGCAACUAAUGUACCAGGUGCAGGUAAUCAGCAACAGAUGUGAUGACUUUGAAGUGUUCUGGAGCAUUUGGCUGUCUAUAGUAUUUUGGACCAGCCAACUUAAUUGUAAUCGUGAAUCUUAUGUGUUUUCUAGACCAUUUGGUGCUCAAGUGUUAUGGAGUAGAAAUCUUGUGCUCAUGGAUGUUACUCAAUUAUUUGGACCAUCUAGUGUUUGA
rnacentral:rRNA from 1 species